rnacentral:rRNA from 1 species
UACGUAGGGGGCGAGCGUUGUCCGGAAUUACUGGGCGUAAAGAGCUCGUAGGUGGUUUGUCGCGUUGUUCGUGAAAACUCACAACUCAAUUGUGGGCGUGCGGGCGAUACGGGCAGACUGGAGUACUGCAGGGGGAGACUGGAAUUCCUGGUGUAGCGGUGGAAUGCGCAGAUAUCAGGAGGAACACCGGUGGCGAAGGCGGGUCUCUGGGCAGUAACUGACGCUGAGGAGCGAAAGCGUGGGGAGCGAACAGG